UUUUCUUUUAAGGCACUCCACAAAAAUCCACAAAAACUAACAGAGCGAGUUAUCAAAUAUUUGAUAUUUGAUAACAUGUUCCUCAUUUCUCAUGCUUGAAGCUUCACAAAAGGUGCAUGAAGAGAGUGCUGGAGGCAAAAGCUCGCGUUUUGAAUUUUCAUGAAAAUUUAAUGAGAAUGGUGUCAAAAAAGACGAAAUAGUAGGAAAAUUUGGAGAGGAUUGGAGCCACCACAGGAAAGAGCUUGCAAAUUUCCAAUUUUAGGUGACCCGAGAGAGUUGACACUAAAAACUGACGCGUUUUGGUGCUGGUGAAGAGUCAUUUGUGAGUCACACAACAAAAUAUAUAUAU
ensembl:ncRNA F55C12.8 ncRNA